rnacentral:lncRNA from 1 species
CAAAAUUUAUAAAUAUUACCCACAACUAUAACAUUAUACCAAAUCCACACCAUAAUAUUAAUAAUAUAUUUUGAGAAAAAUUUAAUCUUUAUUCAUAAAAGUUGGGGUCAUACAGUAUGAGUGUCUCACUAAUCUGCCCUUGGACCGGCCUUGCACUAGGAUGGUUGUCGGUAAUAUGAGCCUGCAGUUUAUGACCCUGACGGG